rnacentral:rRNA from 1 species
UACGGGGGGAGCAAGCGUUGUUCGGAUUUACUGGGCGUAAAGGGCGCGUAGGCGGCCUCUGCAAGUCGACUGUGAAAUCUCCGGGCUUAACCCGGAAAGGUCAGCCGAUACUGCAGGGCUAGAGUGCAGAAGGGGCAACUGGAAUUCUCGGUGUAGCAGUGAAAUGCGUAGAUAUCGAGAGGAACACCAGUGGCGAAGGCGAGUCCCUGGACAACACCUGACACUGAGGCACGAAAGCCGGGGGAGCAAACAGG